rnacentral:rRNA from 1 species
CCUACGGGAGGCAGCAGUGAGGAAUAUUGGUCAAUGGACGCAAGUCUGAACCAGCCACGCCGCGUGCAGGAAGACGGCUCUAUGAGUUGUAAACUGCUUUUGUACGGGGGUAAACUCAGAUCCGAGUAUCUGUCUGAAAGUAUCGUACGAAUAAGGUUCGGCUAACUCCGUUCCAGCAGCCGCGGUAAUACGGAGGAUUCAAGCGUUAUCCGGAUUUAUUGGGUUUAAAGUGUGCGUAGGCGGUUGGAUAAGUCAGAGGUGAAAUCCCGAGGCUCAACUUCGGAAUUGCCUAUGAUACUGUGCGACUAGAGAAUAGUUGCGGUAGGCGGAAUGUAUGGUGUAGCGGUGAAAUGCUUAGAGAUCAUGCAGAACACCGAUUGCGAAGGCAGCUUACCAGGCUACUUCUGACGUUGAGGCACGAUAGCGUGGGGAGCAAACAGGAUUAGAUACCCGGGUAGUC